AUGGUCGAUCUUGCUCAAAGAGGAAAUGGAGCCUCUUUGGGACAAGAUAUCACACCAGAUUUCCUUGAUCUUGGAAUCACCGUUCCAAAUUCUGGUGGGGUGAUUCCACUGGGAACAUCGUCUGCUGGAGAAGUUGAUCAAUCCCUUCUCAAGCUGAAGCUGGACGAUUACAAGAUGCCUGGCGAAAAGAACCCAUACUCAUCACCUCCAAGGAGUCCUCCUGGUGGCAUCAAGCACUGCCUGCUUAGCCCAGUCACCCCUCUGGACCUGCUGGGCUCUCCAACCCAGCCAUGGAAGAAGCUCGGAGGAGUGGCGGCAGAGCUGGGGAUCGACAAGACUGGUGGCCAUGGGGGGGACAUGUCGAGCAUCAUGCUUGCAUCUUAG
rnacentral:rRNA from 1 species